AACGAACGCUGGCGGCAGGCCUAACACAUGCAAGUCGAACGCUCCGCAAGGGGAGUGGCGCACGGGUGAGUAACACGUGGGAACCUACCUUCUGGUACGGAACAACCAAGGGAAACUUUGGCUAAGACCGUAUACGACCUCCGGGUGAAAGAUUGAUCGCCGGAAGAGGGGCCCGCGUCCGAUUAGGUAGUUGGUGAGGUAACGGCUCACCAAGCCUUCGAUCGGUAGCUGGUCUGAGAGGAUGACCAGCCACACUGGGACUGAGACACGGCCCAGACUCCUACGGGAGGCAGCAGUGGGGAAUAUUGGACAAUGGGGGCAACCCUGAUCCAGCGACGCCGCGUGUGUGAAGAAGGCCUGCGGGUUGUAAAGCACUUUUAGU
rnacentral:rRNA from 1 species